rfam:Schistosoma rodhaini strain Burundi genome assembly, scaffold: SROB_scaffold0000516
AUUCAGUUGAUGGGUUCCAAGUAGGACGAAACGCGCGUCCUGAAU